UUUCCGUAGGUGAACCUGCGGAAGGAUCAUUAUCGUACAAAAUGUGAGGGGCAUGCGAGGGCUGUCGCUGACCCAAAAGUCGUGCACGCCCGAGUGUGUCCUCUUGCAUAAUAAUCCAUCUCACCCUUUGUGCAUCACCGCGUGGGCACCCUUCGGGAUCAUCUCGGGGGGGGGCUCGCGUUUUCACACAAACCCCCCUUUUAAAAGUGUGGAAUGACCACAUUUAUGCAAUCAAUACAACUUUCAACAACGGAUCUCUUGGCUCUC
rnacentral:misc_RNA from 1 species